rnacentral:misc_RNA from 1 species
GCAAUUGAUUAGAGCUAAGGAUUUAUUCCAAGAAUUGAGAAAUUACUAGGAAUCCCAGAGAAAGAACAAAAUAGGAAAUAUAGAACAUUCCUUAGAUCGGGGGAAAAACAACUUGCUUAGCUGUCUGUAACAAUUCACUUGCAGGUUCUCAUACUAAUUUACAAAAGACACGGCUUCUACAAUAACUGAAAAACCUAACAAAUUUCAGCUAAGCUAACAACUUCUUCUCCAUUGGACAAAGUUGUUGUACGUUCCCAUCUUAUCUUAAUGCAUCGUUUCACUAAUUCAUUUCCAAUUACUUUUCAGCAGCUUAGCACUUCAUUCAAAUGAUACGGAUCAACAACCUGUGAGAAUGUUGUGUUAAUUGGCGUCAAUGGAUUGAGCAUCCCCGUAUUGGCAAAGGGAUAUUAACUGGAGAAUGAAAUUUUAACCAUGAUAUCAUAAUCAAACUUUUGUUUCCUCAUCAAUCUGAACAGAAAGUAGAAAAACUCUAUCUCUGGAGAUAUAUUUAUGGGUUAAGAUCAUCAACUAUUCAGAAAAUUCCAUCUUUGCAUCUCAUCUCUGCCAACAUACAACAUCUACCAUUUUAGAAAUCCUCUCAUCUUCACUCUCGCUCUCAUUGUCAAUCAUACCUUAUCAAAUCAGAGCAGAAGCAACUAUAACAGCAACAACAAAUUGAGAGCCAAAUUGAAGCCCAUUUAGGUUCAACUUUGACAGGGAUUUGUCUGACUUGAUUAAUGCUUGUGUUCACUUCUAGAGCCAAAUUGAAGAUUGUUCAAUGGUUUAUUGAUGAGUGAAAAGUAAAAUCCGAAAGGAGAAGAGGAUUAUAAGAGGAGGAGUUGAAUUCUAUAACAAUGGGGAUUCCUAUGAAGGAGAAUUUCACAAAGG